rnacentral:pre_miRNA from 1 species
AGCUUUUCGAAUCCGUGCUUAGAGUUCGUCAGACACCAACCUAUUGGCGCUGAUCAGACUUCCAAGAUAAGUGAAGUU